UACGGGGGGGGCAAGCGUUGUUCGGAAUUACUGGGCGUAAAGGGCUUGUAGGUGGCCAACUAAGUCAGACGUGAAAUCCCUCGGCUUAACCGGGGAACUGCGUCUGAUACUGGAUGGCUGGAGUGUGGGAGAGGGAUGCGGAAUUCCAGGUGUAGCGGUGAAAUGCGUAGAUAUCUGGAGGAACACCGGUGGCGAAGGCGGCAUCCUGGACCAACACUGACGCUGAGUGAGCGAAAGCCAGGGGAGCAAACGGG
rnacentral:rRNA from 1 species